rnacentral:rRNA from 1 species
AACGAACGCUGGCGGCAGGCCUAACACAUGCAAGUCGAGCGCCCCGCAAGGGGAGCGGCGGACGGGUGAGUAACGCGUGGGAACGUACCCUUUGCUACGGAAUAGCCUCGGGAAACUGGGAGUAAUACCGUAUGUGCCCUUCGGGGGAAGAUUUAUCGGCAAAGGAUCGGCCCGCGUUGGAUUAGGUAGUUGGUGGGGUAAUGGCCUACCAAGCCGACGAUCCAUAGCUGGUUUGAGAGGAUGAUCAGCCACACUGGGACUGAGACACGGCCCAGACUCCUACGGGAGGCAGCAGUGGGGAAUCUUAGACAAUGGGCGCAAGCCUGAUCUAGCCAUGCCGCGUGAGCGAUGAAGGCCUUAGGGUUGUAAAGCUCUUUCAGUGGGGAAGAUAAUGACUGUACCCACAGAAGAAGCCCCGGCUAACUCCGUG